AAAGAAAAAAAAAUGGUUUUAUUGGUUCUUUGAAAAUGUUGUACAAACCAUGUUGGUCUUAUUCACCCAGUCCUCUAACUCAUUCUAAACCCACCCUUCUCUUCCUUAUCCACUCAAUUUUGCAUUUAAAAAUUUUUAAAAAUUCAUCUGCUGAGGGGAAUUUGUGCUGCCUUUACAUUGUCGGCUGUGCAGUCUUACAUUGGAUUGUGGUCAACUUGGCAGGGGCUACACUCUUAAAGAGAACAGAUCCCACCUUUCCUAGCUACUAUCAACUCUCAAUAGCUCCUUGGCUAGGGGUGGGACAUCAUGCCCACCUCCCCUCUCCCGUGUUCCAAUUUGCUGCGGUUGAGCAUGCACGUACCUUGCGUGUGCUGCCCCAGAGGCUGUGAGCUCAUACGAGCAGCUGACUGGUUGUGUGGUUCUUAUCUGAGAAGUAAGCAUCGCUUUUCUGAUUCCAUUGGCUUUUCGAGGUGUCUCCAUCUCCUGAGCUUCCCCAUGGUCUCCUUUUGCAUCUGUUCUUCUCAUACUUGGGUUCUCUCAUAAUUCCUUGAAGACCACGCUACGCUAAAAAAGAAGUGAACCCUAGAUAGUGACAAGUAGGGUGGGCUCACGGGUUGACAGUGAAAAGAGUUACUUCUGUUGAGCAUCCACUAUGCUCCAGACAUUUGCUGAGGGCUGUACAGGAUGGUUUUGUCUAAGCUCAAAAAAACAAAAACAAAAACAAAAAACACACAAACAAAAAACAAAAAAACCAAAA
rnacentral:lncRNA from 1 species